GAGUCCAGACCGAGACCCAGAGAAAUGUAAACAAACGCACCAGUCAGACUUGAUAUAGGAGUGAAUUUGUUGCUUUUUAAAGCGGCAGUCGGUCUGUACAUGUGUGAGGUGGCGAGGGGUGUCGCCAGGGGGCGGCUAGUAGCGUCUGCCACCAGGGAAAUAUGUAAAAACAUAAAAAAGACGCUUCUCAAGAAAGAGAGGGGCAGUCGGUCUGUACAUGCGUGAGGUGGCGAGAGGCGUGUCCAGGGGGCGGCUAGUAGCGUGUGCCACCGUGGAAAUAUGUACAGACAUAAAGAAGACGCCCUCAAGAAAGGCCUGAGUCCAGACCGAGACCCAGAGAAAUGUAAACAAACGCACCAGUCAGACUUGAUAUAGGAGUGAAUUUGUUGCUUUUUAAAGCGGCAGUCGGUCUGUACAUGUGUGAGGUGGCGAGGGGUGUCGCCAGGGGGCGGCUAGUAGCGUCUGCCACCAGGGAAAUAUGUAAAAACAUAAAAAAGACGCUUCUCAAGAAAGAGAGGGGCAGUCGGUCUGUACAUGCGUGAGGUGGCGAGAGGCGUGUCCAGGGGGCGGCUAGUAGCGUGUGCCACCGUGGAAAUAUGUACAGACAUAAAGAAGACGCCCUCAAGAAAGGCCUGAGUCCAGACCGAGACCCAGAGAAAUGUAAACAAACGCACCAGUCAGACUUGAUAUAGGAGUGAAUUUGUUGCUUUUUAAAGCGGCAGUCGGUCUGUACAUGUGUGAGGUGGCGAGGGGUGUCGCCAGGGGGCGGCUAGUAGCGUCUGCCACCAGGGAAAUAUGUAAAAACAUAAAAAAGACGCUUCUCAAGAAAGAGAGGGGCAGUCGGUCUGUACAUGCGUGAGGUGGCGAGAGGCGUGUCCAGGGGGCGGCUAGUAGCGUGUGCCACCGUGGAAAUAUGUACAGACAUAAAGAAGACGCCCUCAAGAAAGGCCUGAGUCCAGACCGAGACCCAGAGAAAUGUAAACAAACGCACCAGUCAGACUUGAUAUAGGAGUGAAUUUGUUGCUUUUUAAAGCGGCAGUCGGUCUGUACAUGUGUGAGGUGGCGAGGGGUGUCGCCAGGGGGCGGCUAGUAGCGUCUGCCACCAGGGAAAUAUGUAAAAACAUAAAAAAGACGCUUCUCAAGAAAGAGAGGGGCAGUCGGUCUGUACAUGCGUGAGGUGGCGAGAGGCGUGUCCAGGGGGCGGCUAGUAGCGUGUGCCACCGUGGAAAUAUGUACAGACAUAAAGAAGACGCCCUCAAGAAAGGCCUGAGUCCAGACCGAGACCCAGAGAAAUGUAAACAAACGCACCAGUCAGACUUGAUAUAGGAGUGAAUUUGUUGCUUUUUAAAGCGGCAGUCGGUCUGUACAUGUGUGAGGUGGCGAGGGGUGUCG